GACGAACGCUGGCGGCGUGCUUAACACAUGCAAGUCGAGCGGUAAGGCCCUUUCGGGGGUACACGAGCGGCGAACGGGUGAGUAACACGUGGGUGACCUGCCCUCAGCUCUGGGAUAAGCCUGGGAAACUGGGUCUAAUACUGGAUAUGACUCCACGGUGCAUGUCGUGGGGUGGAAAGCCUUGUGCGGCUGAGGAUGGGCCCGNGGCCUAUCAGCUUGUUGGUGGGGUGAUGGCCUACCAAGGCGACGACGGGUAGCCGGCCUGAGAGGGCGACCGGCCACACUGGGACUGAGACACGGCCCAGACUCCUACGGGAGGCAGCAGUGGGGAAUCUUGCGCAAUGCGCGAAAGCGUGACGC
rnacentral:rRNA from 1 species